rnacentral:rRNA from 1 species
AUACGUAGGGAGCGAGCGUUGUCCGGAAUUACUGGGCGUAAAGGGCGCGUAGGCGGCGCUUCAAGUCGUCUGUCAAAUGGGAGGGCUUAACCCUUUUUCGCAGACGAUACUGGGGAGCUUGAGAGGCAGAGAGGCAAACAGAAUUCCUGGUGUAGCGGUGAAAUGCGUAGAUAUCAGGAAGAAUACCAGUGGCGAAGGCGGUUUGCUGGCUGCAUACUGACGCUGAAGCGCGAAAGCCAGGGGAGCAAACGGGAUUAGAUACCCCGGUAGUCCUGGCAGUAAACGAUGUAUGCUGGGUGUGAGACUAGCGAUAGUUUCGUGCCGAAGUUAACGCGAUAAGCAUACCGCCUGGGGAGUACGGUCGCAAGAUUGAAACUCAAAGGAAUUGACGGGG